rnacentral:rRNA from 1 species
GAUGAACGCUGGCGGCGUGCUUAACACAUGCAAGUCGAACGGUGAAGCCCAGCUUGCUGGGUGGAUCAGUGGCGAACGGGUGAGUAACACGUGAGGAACCUGUCCUCGGACUCAGGGAUAACGGCUGGAAACGGCUAGCUAAUACCUGAUGCCGUCGUAUCAUCGCAUGGUGGUGUGACGUAAAGAAGUCUCGGGUUCGG